AGGAUGGCAGAGGGUAUAAUUAAGGGAAGUAAUUAUCGAUAGGCGGACUCCAGAUCAAAACGCGCAGCAGCUUAUCAAUUAGCGUGGGGGUUCGGCGAACGCGGUCAUGGGCGCCAGACUUACACUCUUUUUUUAUCAACUUCGCACACCAGAUUCUCACUAAUAGUCAAAACUUUCAUCAAUGGAUCUCUUGGUUCUCGCUUCGAUAAAGAACGCAACGAAAUGGGAUACGUAAUAUGAAUUGCAGAAAUUCGUGAAUCAUCGAAUCUUUGAACGCACAUUGUCCCUCUGGUAUUCCGGAGGUCAUGCCUGUUUGAGCGUCGUUUCUCCCUCAAACCGCUGCCGGUGGGGUUGCCCAACCCGACUUCAUUUUGCUUGACAGACGCUAGUUGUGAGGUGGGACCGCUUUGACGAUGUCUUACGGCUAAGCAACCAAAAGGCUGGGGGCGCUAACGUCCCCCACCUAUAUCUUAAAGCUUUCAGCUCACAUCACGUGGGACUACCCGCUGAACUUAAGCAUAUCCAUACUUUUUAGAACAAGGUUGACCUCGGAUCAGGAAGGGAUACCCGCUGAACUUAAGCAUAUCAAUAAGGCGGAAGAAA
rnacentral:misc_RNA from 1 species